GUGAAUCAUCAAAUUUUUGAACGCAAAUUGCACUCUCUGGUAUUCCGGGGAGUAUGCCUGUUUGAGGGUCAGUUUUAAUAAAAAUCGGUGUGGUUGCUGAAUUUUGUGGUGACGUAAGUGAUUUGGGUCGUAUUGCCUUUGGUUAAGUGACUUAAAAUUUUGCAUGAAUUUUUGGAAUGUGUUUUAAUGAUUUUACGUUUGUUUGCGAUAUUGUUUAUUAGGUGAGGUUAUUCUAUUGAUUCG
rnacentral:misc_RNA from 1 species